GACGAAGGACGUGAUAAGCUGCGAUAAGCUUCGGGGAGGAGCAAAUAUCCUAUGAUCCGGAGAUUUCCGAAUGGGGAAACCCACUGGAGCAAUACUCCAGUAACGUGCAUUGAAUCAAAUAGGUGUACGUGGGGAACCGCCUGAACUGAAACAUCUAAGUAGGGCGAGGAAAAGACAUCAACCGAGAUUCCGCUAGUAGUGGCGAGCGAACGCGGAGGAGGCCAAACCGGAGGAUUUAUUCUCCGGGGUUCGGACUUGCAUCAAGAUCAGAGGAGCCUAAAAGAACGGCAUGGGAAGGCCGGCCACAGAGGGUGAGAGCCCCGUAUUUGAAAGGUGAAACUGACAGCGAGUAUCCAGAGUACCGCGGGACACGAGGAACCCCGUGGGAAAACGGGUGGACCACCAUCCAAGCCUAAAUACUACCUGAUGACCGAUAGAGGAGCAGUACCGUGAGGGAAAGGUGAAAAGGACCCCGGGAGGGGAGUGAAAGAGAACCUGAAACCUUGUGCUUACAAGCACUCAAAGCACGUUAAAGUGUGAUGAGGUACUUUUUGUAGAACGGUCCGGCGAGUUAUAGUAACGAGCAAGCUUAAGGUAUUCAGUACCGGAGGCGAAGCGAGAGCGAGUCUGAAUAGGGCGUAAAAAGUUCGUUGCCAUAGACCCGAAACCGGGUGACCUAACCAUGAGCAGGCUGAAGUGAGAGUAAAAUCUCAUGGAGGGCCGAACGCACGUUCGUUGCAAUGACCGGCGAUGACUUGUGGUUAGCGGAGAAAUUCCAAUCGAACUCGGAGAUAGCUGGUUCUCCCCGAAAUAGCUUUAGGGCUAGCGUUAUCUUAGAUUACCGGAGGUAAAGCACUGAAUGGGCUAGGGGGCGAUAAGCUUACUGAACCCUAUCAAACUCAGAAUGCCGGCUAAUUGAUGGAUAGCAGUCAGACAGUGUGAGAUAAGUUUCAUUGUCAAAAGGGAAACAGCCCAGACCCACAGCUAAGGUCCCAAAUGUAUGCUAAGUGGAAAACGAUGUGGAGUUGCGAAAACAACCAGGAUGUUGGCUUAGAAGCAGCCACUCAUUAAAAGAGUGCGUAAUAGCUCACUGGUCGAGUGACUCUGCGCGGAAAAUAUAACGGGGCUAAGCAUGCAACCGAAGCUUGGGAUUGUCUAAAGACAGUGGUAGGGGAGCGUCGUGUACGGGGUGAAGUCGCAUCGGAAGGAGCGGUGGACUGUACACGAGUGAGAAUGCCGGAAUGAGUAGCGAGAAUUAUGUGGGAAUCAUAAUGGCCGAAAAUCUAAGGUUUCUUGGGGAAGGUUCGUCCGCCCAAGGUAAGCCGGGAGCUAAGGCGAGGCCGCAAGGCGUAGUCGAUGCACAUACGGUAAAGAUUCCGUAGCCGCCGAACUUUAAGUCAGAGGGACACUUGCAGAUAGCGGAACCCAGCCGUUGGUUGAGCUGGGCGAAAGGGACUGAAAUUAGUAGGGAAGUCCGCGAUGCUGAAAGGCGAGAAAAGCUCUGAUGAAUACUAAGGCGCCCGUACCGCAAACCGACACAGGUAGAUGAGGAGAGAAUCCUAAGGCCAACGGGAGAAGGGUUGUUAAGGAACUCGGCAAAUUGACCCCGUAACUUCGGGAGAAGGGGUGCUCCAGAGAUGGAGCCGCAGAGAAUCGGCCCAAGCAACUGUUUACCAAAAACACAGGUUUGUGCUAAAUCGAAAGAUGACGUAUACGAGCUGACGCCUGCCCGGUGCUGGAAGGUUAAGAGGAGAUGUGCAAGCAUUGAAUCGAAGCCCCAGUGAACGGCGGCCGUAACUAUAACGGUCCUAAGGUAGCGAAAUUCCUUGUCAGGUAAGUUCUGACCCGCACGAAUGGCGUAAUGAUUUGGGCACUGUCUCGACAGCCCGCCCGGCGAAAUUGUAGUACUGGUGAAGAUGCCAGUUACCCGCAACUAGACGGAAAGACCCCAUGGAGCUUUACUGCAGUUUAAUACUGGGAAUCGGUAAUGCAUGUACAGGAUAGGUGGGAGACUAGGAAGCAUGGUCGUCAGGUCAUGUGGAGUCACCGGUGGGAUACCACUCUUGUAUUGCUGAUUUCCUAACCUGCGGCCGUGAAUCCGGUCGGGGGACACUGUUAGGCGGGCAGUUUGACUGGGGCGGUCGCCUCCUAAAGAGUAACGGAGGCGCUCA
rnacentral:rRNA from 1 species